CCUACGGGGGGCAGCAGUGGGGAAUAUUGGACAAUGGGGGGAACCCUGAUCCAGCCAUGCCGCGUGUGUGAAGAAGGCCCUCGGGUUGUAAAGCACUUUCAGUGAGGAAGAACGCCUGGUGGUUAAUACCCAUCAGGAAAGACAUCACUCACAGAAGAAGCACCGGCUAACUCCGUGCCAGCAGCCGCGGUAAUACGGAGGGUGCGAGCGUUAAUCGGAAUUACUGGGCGUAAAGCGCGCGUAGGUGGCUUGAUAAGCCGGUUGUGAAAGCCCCGGGCUCAACCUGGGAACGGCAUCCGGAACUGUCAAGCUAGAGUGCAGGAGAGGAAGGUAGAAUUCCCGGUGUAGCGGUGAAAUGCGUAGAGAUCGGGAGGAAUACCAGUGGCGAAGGCGGCCUUCUGGACUGACACUGACACUGAGGUGCGAAAGCGUGGGUAGCAAACAGGAUUAGAUACCUGAGUAGUC
rnacentral:rRNA from 1 species